CUCCUUUGACGUUAGCGGCGGACGGGUGAGUAACACGUGGGUAACCUACCUAUAAGACUGGGAUAACUUCGGGAAACCGGAGCUAAUACCGGAUAAUAUUUCGAACCGCAUGGUUCGAUAGUGAAAGGUGGUUUUGCUAUCACUUAUAGAUGGACCCGCGCCGUAUUAGCUAGUUGGUAAGGUAACGGCUUACCAAGGCGACGAUACGUAGCCGACCUGAGAGGGUGAUCGGCCACACUGGAACUGAGACACGGUCCAGACUCCUACGGGAGGCAGCAGA
rnacentral:rRNA from 1 species